rnacentral:rRNA from 1 species
UGGGGAAUCUUGCGCAAUGGGCGAAAGCCUGACGCAGCCAUGCCGCGUGAAUGAUGAAGGUCUUAGGAUUGUAAAAUUCUUUCACCGGGGACGAUAAUGACGGUACCCGGAGAAGAAGCCCCGGCUAACUUCGUGCCAGCAGCCGCGGUAAUACGAAGGGGGCUAGCGUUGCCCGGAAUUACUGGGCGUAAAGGGAGCGUAGGCGGACAUUUAAGUCAGGGGUGAAAUCCCGGGGCUCAACGUCGGAAUUGCCUUUGAUACGGGGUGUCUGGAGUGUGAGAGAGGUAUGUGGAACUCCGGGUGUAGAGGUGAAAUUCGUAGAUAUGCGGAAGAACACCGGUGGAGAAGGCGAAAUACUGGCUAAUUAAUGACGCUGAGGGACGAAGGCGUGGGGAACAAACA